UUCGCCUCGUUGAAUCUGGUCGCUGAAGUGCCCAUGUGGGCGCUCAAGCUCGGCAUGCUCGCGGGUGACCUAGCGCCAGGCGUCGACAUCGGCGGACGUGGAGGCCCGGGACUCAUCUCCACCAGAUCAGCGGCCGCAGGCAUCCCACAUCAGAGGGCUCCACAGAGCCGGCCUCCUCUUCCCGCGGGACACGCUGAUAAAUCGGAAUAAGAGCCGAGGGACGCCGGCGAGGACGCCCUGCUUGGCAUAUUGGUCGUGUCGCAGGCCUCCCGGGGUGAAUCGCCGACGGCCUCCCCACCUUAUUGGGUUCCAGGAACAUAUUGGUCUUGUGAUAUUCCAAGUCUGUAUUUUGGCAUGUCUUCUUUGGUUUCACAAACUUGUAUGAUUCGCCUAAAAUGGCAUGAACGCAUCAUUCAAAAUGGUAGUGAUGAAAUGCAGUGACAAUUCAAACUUUCUCAUAACGUUACUGGGUCUAAUUCAGCAAAUUAGAAACAUGCAUGUAAUCAUAGUAUCUAAAAGGAAAACAAGUAGAAGCACCAUGUAAUACAAGAUCUUCCUUGGAUUA